rnacentral:rRNA from 1 species
UACGAAGGGAGCUAGCGUUGUUCGGAAUUACUGGGCGUAAAGCGUGCGUAGACGGUAGCGUAAGUCAGAUGUGAAAGCCCCGGGCUCAACCUGGGAACUGCAUUUGAGACUGCUCUGCUCGGGUGCGGAAGAGGGAAGCGGAAUUUCCGGUGUAGCGGUGAAAUGCGUAGAUAUCGGAAGGAACACCAGUGGCGAAAGCGGCUUCCUGGUCCGACACCGACGUUCAGGCACGAAAGCGUGGGGAGCAAACAGG